GAUGAAGAACGCAGUGAAAUGCGAUAAUUAAUGUGAAUUGCAGAAUUCAGUGAAUCAUCGAGUCUUUGAACGCACAUUGCACCCCCUGGUAUUCCGGGGGGCAUGCCUGUCCGAGCGUCAUUGCUGCCCUCAAGCACGGCUUGUGUGUUGGGCUUCCGUCCCUGGCAACGGGGACGGGCCCAAAAGGCAGUGGCGGCACCAUGUCUGGUCCUCGAGCGUAUGGGGCUUUGUCACCCGCUCCCGUAGGUCCAGCUGGCAGCUAGCCUCGCAACCAAUCUUUUUAACCAGGUUGACCUCGGAUCAGGUAGGGAUACCCGCUGAACUUAAGCAUAUCAAUAAGCGGAGGA
rnacentral:misc_RNA from 1 species